CAGAUCAGGUAGGAAUACCCGCUGAACUUAAGCAUAUCAAUAAGCCGGAGGA
rnacentral:rRNA from 1 species